GGCGAACGGGUGAGUAACACGUGGGUGAUCUGCCUUGCACUUCGGGAUAAGCUUGGGAAACUGGGUCUAAUACCGGAUAGGACAGCUGUUUAGUGUCAGUUGUGGAAAGUUUUUCGGUGCAAGAUGAGCUCGCGGCCUAUCAGCUUGUUGGUGGGGUAAUGGCCUACCAAGGCGUCGACGGGUAGCCGGCCUGAGAGGGUGUACGGCCACAUUGGGACUGAGAUACGGCCCAGACUCCUACGGGAGGCAGCAGUGGGGAAUAUUGCACAAUGGGCGGAAGCCUGAUGCAGCGACGCCGCGUGGGGGAUGAAGGCCUUCGGGUUGUAAACUCCUUUCGACAGGGACGAAGCGUAAGUGACGGUACCUGUAUAAGAAGCACCGGCUAACUACGUGCCAGCAGCCGCGGUAAUACGUAGGGUGCGAGCGUUGUCCGGAAUUACUGGGCGUAAAGAGCUCGUAGGUGGUUUGUCGCGUCGUCUGUGAAAUUCCGGGGCUUAACUCCGGGCGUGCAGGCGAUACGGGCUGACUUGAGUGCUGUAGGGGAGACUGGAAUUCCUGGUGUACGGUGAAAUGCGCAGAUAUCAGGAGGAACACCGAUGGCGAAGGCAGGUCUCUGGGCAGUAACUGACGCUGAGGAGCGAAAGCGAUGGGUAGCGAACAGGAUUAGAUACCCUGGUAGUCCAUGCCGUAAACGGUGGGCGCUAGGUGUAGGGGGCUUCCACGUCUUCUGUGCCGUAGCUAACGCAUUAAGCGCCCCGCCUGGGGAGUACGCCGCAAGGCU
rnacentral:rRNA from 1 species